GACGAACGCUGGCGGCGUGCUUAACACAUGCAAGUCGAACGGAAAGGCCCUGCUUUCGUGGGGUGCUCGAGUGGCGAACGGGUGAGUAACACGUGAGUAACCUGCCCUAGACUUUGGGAUAACUUCAGGAAACUGGGGCUAAUACCGGAUAGGAGCUCCUGCUGCAUGGUGGGGGUUGGAAAGUUUCUGCGGUUGGGGAUGGACUGGCGGCUAAUCAGCUUGUUGGUUGGGUAGUGGCUUACCAAGGCAUUGACGGGUCGCCGGCCUGAGAGGGUGACCGGCCACAUUGGGACUGAGAGACGGCCCAGAGUCCUACGGGGGGCAGCAGUGGGGAGUAUGGUACAGUGGGCGCAAGCCUGAUGCAGCAACGCCGCGUGCGGGAUGACGGCCUGCUGGUUGUAAACCGCUGUCGCUUGUGACGAAGCGGGAGUGACGGUAAUGGGUAAAGAAGCACCGGCUAACUACGUG
rnacentral:rRNA from 1 species